rnacentral:lncRNA from 1 species
GAGAAUAGUCCUGGACUGAGCUUCAGAAGAUCUCAGAUCACUGACGUUCUGUCUAGAAGAAUACUCCAAGAUAUAUUUCUAAGUAAUAUUCCUUCUCUUGUUGGGGGAAAUUAGAGAAGAUUUCUACCUGGUGCCAUAUCAACUCAAGGAUGGAGUCAAAUACUGAGAGGCUCUGUCAUCUGUCUUUGGAUCUCCUUCUGUGAAAAUUCUAACAAGGAGCAAACAGCAAAGAACUGAAAUGCUAUACAGACUCCAGUGAGAAAAAACUGAGGUAAUUGGUUUCGGUGUGCUGGUGCUUGAAACUCUAUCCCAGUGCUUCCUUCAACUAAGGCUGCAAAUUGAAAAUGUGAAGAACCUUGCCUGCUUGAACCAGCCUGGGCUUGUGGCAGCAUCAUUCUGUCACUUAAUUCUUCUCACAGAGGUAAUGCCUAUUAAGUGACUUAGCAAGGGCGUGCAUGAUGUAGUCACGAGAUGGAUAUUGGUAACAGUGAUUCCUUGCUGGUACUUUCUAUUAAGUCUAGGUUUCUUGUCACUCAUUGAUCGACCGCACAAAAUCUCACCUGCUAAAUAAUUUGCCCAGGCUUCCACAUCAUUGUACCUGUAUUGAUGAUCCCCAGUGCACAAGAUUACCACGUGAAUGGCAAUGAAAUUUGUGGCGCUGAUACUCAGGGUCUCCACCAGCGAUGUAUAUCACUAUUAAUUUCACUUUGUAUUUCAGAAAGCCGAACCUUUUAAAAUGGAGCUUAUUGCACCAAAAAUAGUUGGAAAUAGAGUAAAACCAAAGAGAAAACCUUAACAACUAUAUAUUUUUAUUUGUUUUAGC